CGCCAGCAGCCGUGUGUAUUCGCCCAACUUUGCACACGUGCAACUAAAUUAAUUAUGCAAACACAGCAACGUUAUUUUUCGCUUUAAAACCACGCUGCAGGCAGUACAAAAACAUUCAUUUUCUCACGCUUAGCUACCUCAGACUGCUCUGUCAUUCUCUCAAAAAACAGUCAACAUCUGUUUAAUGUUUUCGUACUCUUACAAACAACUUCCCCGGGAUGUGUGCUUCAGUCGCUCUACGUGAAGCCACUGCGAGCAGAAACAGCCUACUGGUUAAACUAAAGCUGGAUGCCCUACUUCCGGACGGCCUCUAGAAGUUGGAGCUCUUUCUCAGGGGAGCUGAGCUACCCUGUUUCCUCAAGCAGAGCGCUGGAAAUGUGAUGAGGGGAGACCCAAAUAAGAAACGGGGAUGACAUAUUGUGGCAUUGGUAUCCACUGAGUUUGAAUAGAUAAAGGAGAUGCUUCUCGCUCACUCAAUACUCAAGGCAGCACCUGAGAACCUUGAUGUGCUUUUAAAAUGAAUUGAUGUAACUUUAAGGCAAAGAUUUUCAGGUUACUAUGUCACGAGAGCUCACAUUAAUUCCUUGUUGCAUAAAAAGACAUUUUACAUGAUAUACAGUAAAUAAAUUGCUGCUAAAUCUGUGCUACAUUUUACUGUUAAAUUUAGUGGCAAUCAUAUGACCGUAUUGUGGCUGCCCAUGUACAGAGUAUUACCAUGAGUUUGGAAAAGUAGCAUCAUCCUUGAUGCGUGUAUGUGAUAUAGUAGAUUAAUAAUUACUUUGUUGGAUCAUUUUAAAUCCGGUGACAAAUACAUUAUGACUUGUUUGUAACUUCGAGGCCAAAUAAUAAGUAAUCGGGACCUGACAUGGAAAUUAAGUGAAACCAGGGCGCUCCGGCAGGAUUGUCUUCCUGUAAUGCUACAAUGUUGGCUCACUACUUGCUGACAAAAAGCUUGUUUUACUCAAUGGGUGAACAUACAAAUAAAACCAACAUGUUUCUGC